rnacentral:tRNA from 1 species
GGUGGCUCAGUGGUAGAGUGCUUGCCUGGCAUGCAUGAGGCCCUGGGUUCAAGUCUCAGGACCA